AAUCAAGAGCAACUUUAGGCUUUCUGACCGAGCCACAUGGAAGCCAUGGUGCAGCUUCCUGCCUCGGGGAGACUGGCGCGGGGGCAGGAUCAGAGGCGCUGGCGAGAACUGAUGGGGCUCCGCCGCAUCGCCGCAGUGUACAGGUGCAGGCAGAGAGUGAGCAGAUGGUGGCUAUAGAGAAGUUCUGGAAGGAAGCGUUUGGGAAAAAUAAGAAGUGGUGGUCACAAAGGGAAGUUUGAAAUCAACAUUGCAAAUACGGGGCUAAGAUGGGUGGCAGGAAAGACUGUGGGCUGUCCCUUGACAUCAAGCACCUGGGAGUCUGCUUGGGCUGAGAUGGGGGACUCGUUCCUGUCCGGAUUCCAGGAAGCCACCGUUUGAACUCUGCAGACCUCAGCCAGUGGCAGACCCGAUGGUGAGCACAAAGGCUGCCCCCCAGCAGGGAACUAUGGAGCAGCUAACGCCCCUGAGCUCCCCUUGGGAUGAGGCAGGAGCCCAUCUCCAGCAGAGAUCACUUUAUUGCUUAGUUUUUCCAUGUCCUCUCCUGUUUGCCUCUCUCCCCUUUUCCUGUGAGUACUUUCCAAUAAAUCAUUUGAACAACAAUCCAGUCUCAGCUCUGCUUCUAAGACAGAUGGCUAUUCACAUGCUGAAAACAAUGAUGGGCAUGCUGGUGGAGAAAGAGUCGGUGAAUCUGGUACUAAGGUCAUUGGCGACGAAGAGGGGAGAUGGGGAAGCCAGGAAAUGACAGCCACGAGAAAAAGCAAGAGUUAUGAAGACGGACAACGUACUUCAAAGGAGCUGGGGCCUUUGAAGAGGAAGGAGACAGUUUGGAAGUGGGGUGAAGAGGGCCUCUGGCUCCACAAGCUGACUUGAUGAGCCAGGGCAAUCGUGAAACAAGAGAGAGGAGCCACAGGACAGAACAGACCUGGGUCUCCACAUCCGUGCUUAAAGGAUCCAAUUGGCCUACAAUGUGAACAAAAAAUAAACCUUCAUUGCCUAAGCCACAGAGGCAUCGGGAUUUAUUUGUUUCUGCAGCCUGGAAACAGUCUGACAGCUACUUACCU